rnacentral:tRNA from 1 species
GCGCCCGUAGCUCAGUCCGGAGAGAGCGCUGGCCUGCGGAGCCAGAGGUCCUGGGUUCAAAUCCCAGCGGGCGCGCCA